rnacentral:rRNA from 1 species
GUGCGAAAUAUUACUGUAAACGGCCGCCCUAGCGUGAGGGUGCUAAGGUAGCGAAAUUCCUUGCCUUUUGAUUGUAGGCCUGCAUGAAUGGUUUAACGAGGGUUUAACUGUCUCUAAAUUUUUUAUUGAAAUUGUACUGAAGGUGAAGAUACCUUCAUUUAAAAGUUAGACAAAAAGACCCCGUGCAACUUUGAAAAUUAACUUUAUUCAGAAGUAAAAGAUUUUUAGGUGGGGCGCCUAGAAAGUAAGUCUAACCUUUCUGAAUAAUUAGUUCUUUCCGGAUUCGACCCGAUUAUAUUCGAUCAUAGGAGAAGUUACGCCGGGGAUAACAGGCUAAUCCUUUAGUAGAGCUCGUAUUGGCUAAAGGGAUUGGCACCUCGAUGUUGAAUCAGGGAUGAUAGCUUCAAGGCGUAGAGGCUUUGAGAGUAGGUCUGUUCGACCUUUAAUACCCU